UACGUAGGGCGCAAGCGUUGUCCGGAAUUAUUGGGCGUAAAGAGCUCGUAGGCGGCUUGUCGCGUCGGAUGUGAAAGCCCGGGGCUUAACCCCGGGUCUGCAUUCGAUACGGGCAGGCUAGAGUUCGGUAGGGGAGAUCGGAAUUCCUGGUGUAGCGGUGAAAUGCGCAGAUAUCAGGAGGAACACCGGUGGCGAAGGCGGAUCUCUGGGCCGAUACUGACGCUGAGGAGCGAGAGCGUGGGGAGCGAACAGG
rnacentral:rRNA from 1 species